AAAUAUUCCUGUACUUCUGGUUAUUGCGAUGGAGGGACGGAGAAGGCUAGGCCAGCUUGGCGUUGGUUGUCCAAGUUUAAGGUGGUAGGCUGGAAUCUUAGGUAAAUCCGGGAUUCUAAGGCCGAGAGCUGAUGACGAGUGUUCUUUUAGAACACGAAGUGGUUGAUGCCAUGCUUCCAAGAAAAGCUUCUAAGCUUCAGGUAACCAGGAACCGUACCCCAAACCGACACAGGUGGUUGGGUAGAGAAUACCAAGGCGCUUGAGAGAACUCGGGUGAAGGAACUAGGCAAAAUGGCACCGUAACUUCGGGAGAAGGUGCGCCGGUGAGGGUGAAGCAUUUACUGCGUAAGCCCAUGCCGGUCGAAGAUACCAGGCCGCUGCGACUGUUUAUUAAAAACACAGCACUCUGCAAACACGAAAGUGGACGUAUAGGGUGUGACGCCUGCCCGGUGCCGGAAGGUUAAUUGAUGGGGUUAGCUAACGCGAAGCUCUUGAUCGAAGCCCCGGUAAACGGCGGCCGUAACAAUAACGGUCCUAAGGUAGCGAAAUUCCUUGUCGGGUAAGUUCCGACCUGCACGAAUGGCGUAACGAUGGCGGCGCUGUCUCCACCCGAGACUCAGUGAAAUUGAAAUCGCUGUGAAGAUGCAGUGUAUCCGCGGCUAGACGGAAAGACCCCGUGAACCUUUACUAUAGCUUUGCACUGGACUUUGAAUUUGCUUGUGUAGGAUAGGUGGGAGGCUUUGAAGCGUGGACGCCAGUUCGCGUGGAGCCAACCUUGAAAUACCACCCUGGCAACUUUGAGGUUCUAACUCAGGUCCGUUAUCCGGAUCGAGGACAGUGUAUGGUGGGUAGUUUGACUGGGGCGGUCUCCUCCUAAAGAGUAACGGAGGAGUACGAAGGUGCGCUCAGACCGGUCGGAAAUCGGUCGUAGAGUAUAAAGGCAAAAGCGCGCUUGACUGCGAGACAGACACGUCGAGCAGGUACGAAAGUAGGUCUUAGUGAUCCGGUGGUUCUGUAUGGAAGGGCCAUCGCUCAACGGAUAAAAGGUACUCCGGGGAUAACAGGCUGAUACCGCCCAAGAGUUCAUAUCGACGGCGGUGUUUGGCACCUCGAUGUCGGCUCAUCACAUCCUGGGGCUGAAGCCGGUCCCAAGGGUAUGGCUGUUCGCCAUUUAAAGUGGUACGCGAGCUGGGUUUAGAACGUCGUGAGACAGUUCGGUCCCUAUCUGCCGUGGACGUUUGAGAUUUGAGAGGGGCUGCUCCUAGUACGAGAGGACCGGAGUGGACGAACCUCUGGUGUUCCGGUUGUCACGCCAGUGGCAUUGCCGGGUAGCUAUGUUCGGAAUAGAUAACCGCUGAAAGCAUCUAAGCGGGAAACUAGCCUCAAGAUGAGAUCUCACUGGGACCUUGAGUCCCCUGAAGGGCCGUCGAAGACUACGACGUUGAUAGGUUGGGUGUGUAAGCGCUGUGAGGCGUUGAGCUAACCAAUACUAAUUGCCCGUGAGGCUUGAGC
rnacentral:rRNA from 1 species